rnacentral:rRNA from 1 species
GAUGAACGCUGGCGGCGUGCCUAAUACAUGCAAGUCGAGCGAACAGAUGAGGAUCUUGCUCCUCUGACGUUAGCGGCGGACGGGUGAGUAACACGUGGAUAACCUACCUAUAAGACUGGGAUAACUUCGGGAAACCGGAUCUAAUACCGGAUAAUAUAUUGAACCGCAUGGUUCAAUAGUGAAAGACGGUUUUGCUGUCACUUAUAGAUGGAUCCGCGCCGCAUUAGCUAGUUGGUAAGGUAACGGCUUACCAAGGCAACGAUGCGUAGCCGACCUGAGAGGGUGAUCAGCCACACUGGAACUGAGACACGGCCCAGACUCCUACGGGAGGCAGCAGUAGGGAAUCUUCCGCAAUGGGCGAAAGCCUGACGGAGCAACGCCGCGUGAGUGAUGAAGGUCUUCGGAUCGUAAAACUCUGUUAUUAGGGAAGAACAAAUGUGUAAGUAACUAUGCACGUCUUGACGGUACCUAAUCAGAAAGCCACGGCUAACUACGUG